rnacentral:rRNA from 1 species
CCUACGGGAGGCAGCAGUGGGAAUUUUCCGCAAUGGGCGAAAGCCUGACGGAGCAAUACCGCGUGAGGGAGGAAGGCUCUUGGGUCGUAAACCUCUUUCUCAAGGAAGAUAAUGACGGUACUUGAGGAAUAAGCAUCGGCUAACUCCGUGCCAGCAGCCGCGGUAAUACGGAGGAUGCAAGCGUUAUCCGGAAUGAUUGGGCGUAAAGAGUCCGUAGGUGGUAAUUCAAGUCUGUGGUUAAAGCGUGGAGCUCAACUCCAUAAGGGCCAUGGAAACUGAAUAACUAGAGUGAGGUAGGGGUAGAGGGAAUUCUCGGUGUAGCGGUGAAAUGCGUAGAUAUCGGGAAGAACACCGGUGGCGAAAGCGCUCUACUGGACCUUAACUGACACUGAGGGACGAAAGCUAGGGGAGCGAAAGGGAUUAGAUACCCCCUGUAGUCCUAGCCGUAAACGAUGGAUACCUAGGUGUUGCCCCGUAUCGACCCGGGCAGUGCGUACGCGUACGACGUAGUACUCCGUCCGUCGGAGGUACGCGACGACGAGUAGUGAACUACGAAUAGAAGUAGUACGGACGUGAGACGUGUCCGACGGACGACGACGAGGGAGGUAGG